GACGAACGCUGGCGGCGUGCCUAACACAUGCAAGUCGAACGGAACUGUUUUGAAAGAUUUCUUCGGAAUGAAUUUGAUUUAGUUUAGUGGCGGACGGGUGAGUAACGCGUGAGUAACCUGCCUUCAAGAGGGGAAUAACAUUCUGAAAAGAAUGCUAAUACCGCAUGACAUAUCGGAACCACAUGGUUUUGAUAUCAAAGAUUUUAUCGCUUGAAGAUGGACUCGCGUCCGAUUAGUUAGUUGGUGAGGUAACGGCUCACCAAGACCGCGAUCGGUAGCCGGACUGAGAGGUUGAACGGCCACAUUGGGACUGAGACACGGCCCAGACUCCUACGGGAGGCAGCAGUGGGGGAUAUUGCGCAAUGGGGGCAACCCUGACGCAGCAACGCCGCGUGAAGGAGGAAGGUUUUCGGAUUGUAAACUUCUUUUAUUAAGGACGAAAAAUGACGGUACUUAAUGAAUAAGCUCCGGCUAACUACGUG
rnacentral:rRNA from 1 species